CCCUAAUCUGUUAACACUUUUGUACUCUUCUGCCGUCUCUUCCUCAUCGUCUCUCCCCUUCCUUCCUCCGCCUCCACCGCCUGACUCACUGUCUCACCUUCCUUCAUCCGCCUCCGACUCACUGUGAUUUCCUCCUCAGCUUCCUACUUCCUCAGUUUCACCUUCAUCUUCACGCCAUUCAAGCCCGACAGAGACAGACAUCAUCAGCCUUCAUCUUCAACUAUUGUAGUGUAGUGUGGCGUCUCAUUCCUCACCUGGGUGGUUGACGCUUUGAACCCAUUGGAUUGGCGUUUAGCAAUCCUUUUGUUUCCUUUUGUACGGGUCUUUGACCACCGGGUAAACUAGCAAGGGAGAGGUCUCCCUCAAUUCCUCAAUUCUUGGCUUUUGCAACAAAGCUGUUGGCUGAAGAGUGGCAGAGCUGGUCAAUCCACAUCAAUCAACUCAAUCCAUCAAUCCGUUGUACCAGAAGCUUCUUUCUCAUGGAUGAGAGGUCAGACUAUCAACUAAACCAUGAAGAAAUGUGGAAAUUGCUCUCUAAAGGAAGGAAUAUGAAGAUUUGAAGUUGACAUCUCGAAGAAGUAGUUAAAGCUGGAAAUGACCAUACUUUGGGUUUUGUUACUAGUGGAUCUGCUCUAUUGCAUGGUGCUACUCAGACAAGUGCCUCACCCUGGUCUUCAGCAUCAAUGAUAUUUCCUCCAACCCUAGGCAUGCCUUUAAAUGCUGAAUGGAAUGGGUUCUUCAGCAGUUUCUUUCGAAAUUGCUCAUUACACUUCUGGGGUGAGUACGAACUACAGAAAGUUUUUGUUUUUGGUUAAGUUAAAAUAUGUAUUUAUCGGAAUCAUGGAAGUUCAAGUUCAUGUUUCG